CAUGCAGUCGAACGGCAGCAUGAUCUAGCUUGCUAGAUUGAUGGCGAGUGGCGAACGGGUGAGUAAUACAUCGGAACGUGCCCUGUAGUGGGGGAUAACUAGUCGAAAGAUUAGCUAAUACCGCAUACGACCUGAGGGUGAAAGUGGGGGACCGCAAGGCCUCAUGCUAUAGGAGCGGCCGAUGUCUGAUUAGCUAGUUGGUGGGGUAAAGGCCCACCAAGGCGACGAUCAGUAGCUGGUCUGAGAGGACGAUCAGCCACACUGGGACUGAGACACGGCCCAGACUCCUACGGGAGGCAGCAGUGGGGAAUUUUGGACAAUGGGCGAAAGCCUGAUCCAGCAAUGCCGCGUGUGUGAAGAAGGCCUUCGGGUUGUAAAGCACUUUUGUCCGGAAAGAAAUGGCUCUGGUUAAUACCUGGGGUCGAUGACGGUACCGGAAGAAUAAGGACCGGCUAACUACGUGCCAGCAGCCGCGGUAAUACGUAGGGUCCAAGCGUUAAUCGGAAUUACUGGGCGUAAAGCGUGCGCAGGCGGUUGUGCAAGACCGAUGUGAAAUCCCCGAGCUUAACUUGGGAAUUGCAUUGGUGACUGCACGGCUAGAGUGUGUCAGAGGGGGGUAGAAUUCCACGUGUAGCGGUGAAUG
rnacentral:rRNA from 1 species